UACGUAGGGUGCAAGCGUUGUCCGGAAUUAUUGGGCGUAAAGAGCGCGUAGGCGGUCCGAUAAGUCGGCUGUGAAAGUCAGGGGCUCAACCCUUGAAAGCCGGCCGAUACUGUCGGACUAGAGUCCGGAAGAGGCAAGUGGAAUUCCCGGUGUAGCGGUGAAAUGCGCAGAUAUCGGGAGGAACACCGGUGGCGAAGGCGGGUCUCUGGGCCGUAACUGACGCUGAGGAGCGAAAGCGUGGGGAGCGAACAGG
rnacentral:rRNA from 1 species